CAGUAGCCACGGUAAUACGUAGGUGGCAAGCGUUGUCCGGAAUUAUUGGGCGUAAAGCGCGCGCAGGCGGAUAGGUCAGUCUGUCUUAAAAGUUCGGGGCCUAACCCCGUGACGGGAUGGAAACUGCCAAUCUAGAGUAUCGGAGAGGAAAGUGGAAUUCCUAGUGUAGCGGUGAAAUGUGUAGAUAUUAGGAAGAACACCAGUGGCGAAGGCGACUUUCUGGACGAAAACUAACGCUGAGGCGCGAAAGCCAGGGGAGCGAACGGGAUUAGAGACCCCGGUAGUCCCUGUCUCUUAUACA
rnacentral:rRNA from 1 species